CGGUUGAUCCCGCCGGAGGUUACUGCUAUCGAGGUUCGACUAAGCCAUGCGAGUCGAAUGUAGCAAUACAUGGCGUACUGCUCAGUAACACGUGGAUAACCUACCCUUGAGAUGGGGAUAAACCCGGGAAACUGGGUAUAAUACCCAAUAGAUCUCGACUGCUGGAAUGCAUCGAGAUCCAAAGCUCCGGCGCUCAAGGAUGGAUCUGCGGCCUAUCAGGUAGUAGUGGGUGUAGCGUACCUACUAGCCUACGACGGGUACGGGUUGUGAGAGCAAGAGCCCGGAGAUGGAUUCUGAGACACGAAUCCAGGCCCUACGGGGUGCAGCAGGCGCGAAAACUUUACAAUGCUGGAAACAGCGAUAAGGGGACCUCGAGUGCCAGGUUACAAAUCUGGCUGUCGUGAUGCCUAAAAAGCAUUGCAUAGCAAGGGCCGGGCAAGACCGGUGCCAGCCGCCGCGGUAACACCGGCGGCUCGAGUGGUAACCGUUAUUAUUGGGUCUAAAGGGUCUGUAGCCGGCCGGAUAAGUCUCUUGGGAAAUCUGGCAGCUUAACUGUCAGGCUUUCAGGAGAUACUGUCUGGCUCGAGGCCGGGAGAGGUGAGAGGUACUUCAGGGGUAGGGGUGAAAUCUUGUAAUCCUUGAAGGACCACCAGUGGCGAAGGCGUCUCACCAGAACGGACCUGACGGCAAGGGACGAAAGCUAGGGGCACGAACCGGAUUAGAUACCCGGGUAGUCCUAGCCGUAAACGAUACUCGCUAGGUGUCGGCAACGGUGCGACCGUUGUCGGUGCCGUAGGGAAGCCGUGAAGCGAGCCACCUGGGAAGUACGGCCGCAAGGCUGAAACUUAAAGGAAUUGGCGGGGGAGCACCACAACGGGUGGAGCUUGCGGUUUAUUGGAUUCAACGCCCGGAA
rnacentral:rRNA from 1 species